GACAGAGGGUGCAAACGUUGUUCGGAAUUACUGGGCGUAAAGCGCGUGUAGGCUGCUUGGAAAGUCGGGUGUGAAAGCCCUGAGCUCAACUCAGGAAGUGCACUCGAAACUUCCGAGCUCGAGUCCUGGAGAGGGUGGCGGAAUUCUCGGUGUAGAGGUGAAAUUCGUAGAUAUCGAGAGGAACACCGGUGGCGAAGGCGGCUACCUGGACAGUGACUGACGCUGAGACGCGAAAGCGUGGGGAG
rnacentral:rRNA from 1 species